AGAGUUUGAUCCUGGCUCAGAAUGAACGCUGGCGGCGUGCCUAACACAUGCAAGUCGAACGAGAAAGCGGGCUUCGGCCCGUGAGUAAAGUGGCAGACGGGUGAGUAACACGUGGGUAACCUGCCCUGAGGUGGGGGAUAACCCUCCGAAAGGAGGGCUAAUACCGCAUAACAUCUCGAGUUCCUCGGGACACGAGAUCAAAGUUAGCCUCUACAUGUAAGCUGACGCCAUUGGAGGGGCCCGCGUCCCAUUAGCUUGUUGGUGAGGUAACGGCUCACCAAGGCCGCGAUGGGUAGCCGGCCUGAGAGGGUGAUCGGCCACACUGGAACUGAGACACGGUCCAGACUCCUACGGGAGGCAGCAGUGAGGAAUUUUGCGCAAUGGGCGAAAGCCUGACGCAGCGACGCCGCGUGGAGGACGAAGGCCUUCGGGUCGUAAACUCCUGUCAAGUGGGACGAAUCCUGAGAGGAUGAAUAAGCCUCUCAGUUGACGGUACCACUGGAGGAAGCCCCGGCUAACUCCGUGCCAGCAGCCGCGGUAAUACGGAGGGGGCCAGCGUUGUUCGGAAUUAUUGGGCGUAAAGGGCGCGUAAGCGGUUGUGCAAGUCGGUGGUGAAAGCCCUCCGCUCAACUGAGGAAUUGCCCCCGAAACUGCAC
rnacentral:rRNA from 1 species